AGCCAUGAAAAUAUAAACGUCUCGCCUUUUCUUUUGCAGGGGUUAUUCCAAAGACAGCGAAAGCAGCUGGUUUCGCUCGCUCUUCGUCCACAAGGUGGAUCCCCGAAAAGACGCCCAUUCCAACCUCCUGUCCAAGAAAGAGACCAACCACCUCUACAAGAUCCAAUUCCACAAUGUGAAGCCCGAAAGCUUGGAUUCCUACAACAGACUCGCGGAAGAAGUCCUCCCCAAGCUGCAUUCAGACACCGGGUAUCCAUGCGAACUGGUUGGGAACUGGAAUACCUGGUACGGCGAGCAGGACCAGGCAGGUAAGAAGCUGCGUGAAGGGCACUGUACAGGACACAAUCCUCACAUAACGACCAUCUGUUUUCGUG